CCUACGGGGGGCAGCAGUGGGGAAUAUUGCACAAUGGGCGAAAGCCUGAUGCAGCAACGCCGCGUGGGUGAAGAAGCGCCUCGGCGCGUAAAGCCCUGUCAGCAGGGAAGAAAAUGACGGUACCUGAAGAAGAAGCCCCGGCUAACUACGUGCCAGCAGCCGCGGUAAUACGUAGGGGGCAAGCGUUAUCCGGAUUUACUGGGUGUAAAGGGAGCGUAGACGGUAUGGCAAGUCUGAUGUGAAAACCCGGGGCUCAACCCCGGGACUGCAUUGGAAACUGUCGGACUAGAGUGUCAGAGAGGCAA
rnacentral:rRNA from 1 species